rnacentral:tRNA from 1 species
GAGGAUAUAGCUUAGUGGUAAUGUGUGUGCUUAGCAUGCACAAGGUCCUGGGUUCAAUUUCCAUUACUUCU